rnacentral:rRNA from 1 species
UUGAACGCUGGCGGCAUGCCUAACACAUGCAAGUCGAACGCGAAAGAGGGGCAACUCUUGAGUAGAGUGGCGGACGGGUGAGUAAUACGUAGGAAUCUGCCCUAAAGUGGGGGAUAACCCGGGGAAACUCGGGCUAAUACCGCAUAAUAUCUUAGGAUUAAAGCAGGGGACCGCAAGGCCUUGUGCUUUAGGAUGAGCCUACGCCAGAUUAGCUAGUUGGUAGGGUAAUGGCCUACCAAGGCAACGAUCUGUAGCUGGUUUGAGAGAACGACCAGCCACACUGGGACUGAGAUACGGCCCAGACUCCUACGGGAGGCAGCAGUGGGGAAUAUUGGACAAUGGGGGCAACCCUGAUCCAGCAAUGCCGCGUGUGCGAUGAAGGCCUGCGGGUUGUAAAGCACUUUCGGUUGGGAAGAAAUACUCAAAGAUAAUAUCUUUGAGGGUUGACGUUACUAACAUAAGAAGCACCGGCUAACUCUGU